UGGUAAAACUAGCCUUCCAA
rnacentral:tRNA from 2 species